GGCGUCUUGCGGCGGGCAAGCGUGCCGUCGAUCAGUCGACGUUCACGGGAAAAACGCGAGCGCUGUGCUGGUCCCUGCAGCGGCGCUGUUCCGUGAGGAUCGGAUCGCUGGUCCGGAUGCGCAUCACGCCAGUCCGUCUGCCGCAUGCACCUCGCGAUGGCAAUUCGCGCAGAGCAAGUCGCAUUUCGAAGCCUCUUCGACGAGCCGCCGCCGCGAGCGCGGCACUCCGUCAACGGAGAUCGCGAAAGUCUUGGUGCUCGGAUCGCGGUGAUGGAAGACCAACGCCGCCACGUGACCGGCGUAGCCGCAGCGGAUACAACGGCCGCCGUGCAGUUCAACGAGACGCGCUUUAGUUCGGCGACGCCAUUCGACAACCGCACGCGCCCCGCCUAGUGACGUGAUCGCCGCGGUGGCGGCAUGUUCCGCGAGGUGGCAGUUCGCGCACAGCACCUCGCACUUCGACAGCUCUGAGCGGAUCGCAGCGACCGACCGUGAAUACGCCGCCGAAAUUGCGAACUCCUUCUCACCUGGGAUGCGGUGGUGUAGAUCAAGGGCCGCCGGAACUCGAUGACCGCACCGGGCACAUCUGAGACGCCACUCGGCGACAAGGGCCGCUAUCGCACGGCGCCGCCGUCGGCCGUACGCACGCCACGAGGCUUUCCGCCUCUCGCUGUGCAUCGGCCGAGACGUCGACCGCGCCUUGCGAGUCUGCUCCCCGGGGAGGAUUCGAACCUCCAACCUAGUGAUUACCCGUUCCC
rnacentral:misc_RNA from 1 species